UCUUUUCCUUUUUUUCCCUCCUCCUCGGUCCUCCUUCUGCUUCCCGCGUUCUCCUGCUUUCUUUUUUUUCCCUUUUUCUUCUUCGGUUUGCUCCUUUAGAGGUGAAAUCCCGGGGCUUAACUCCGGAACUGCCUCUAAUACUGUUAGACUAGAGAGUAGUUGCGGUAGGCGGAAUGUAUGGUGUAGCGGUGAAAUGCUUAGAGAUCAUACAGAACACCGAUUGCGAAGGCAGCUUACCAAACUAUAUCUGACGUUGAGGCACGAAAGCGUGGGGAGCAAACAGG
rnacentral:rRNA from 1 species